CAGCCCUCAGAGGGAACAUUCCCGGCCCAGUGGGCACCGCCAGCCCCCUGUCCCCCACGGCCUGCGUGCUCUGCGACCUGCGGCUCGCAGCACCCGGUAAACCAGAAAUGUGGAGGACGUGUCAAAGCUGAGAAAAUAAUGACCAGGCCUAAACACUGCAAAGGUGCAGGACUAAGGCAACAUGGAAAGCAGAGGGGAAAAGAAAAUAAAACCAAAACCAACAACAAAAGUCCAAACCAGACACGAUGGCCACAGGUGCUACUUUUAUACAGCUCCAUGGGAUGUUGUUUUCAUGAAUGUCAUUUAAUAAACUAAAAGUAUUCCACAUA